AUUAUCUCAGAUUUUAGAGAUUAGGGCUUGAGAUUUUGAUAGAGAGCAAGAGGGAGACAAUUUUGAUCAAGGAUAUGUCGAGAGAAUAUAUUUGCCUUAGAAUUUGUGAUAGAAAAUCAAGAUUUUUGGACGGUUAAGGGGAUGGAUUUGUGGGAUUGUGGCCAGUGGAGAGCUUGAAGAAGGGUUUUGGUAUGGGACGAGAA
rnacentral:lncRNA from 1 species